rnacentral:rRNA from 1 species
UUUACCCGCUGGAACUUAAGCAUAUCAAUAAGCGGAGGAAAAGAAACCAACAGGGGAUGCCCCAGUAACGGCGAGUGAAGCGGCAACAGCUCAAAUUUGAAAUCUGGCCCCCCGGGCCCGAGUUGUAAUUUGCAGAGGAUGCUUUCGGUGCGGCCCCUUCCGAGUCCCCUGGAAUGGGGCGCCACAGAGGGUGAGAGCCCCGUAUGGUCGGACGCCAAGCCGGUGUAAAGCUCCUUCGACGAGUCGAGUAGUUUGGGAAUGCUGCUCUAAAUGGGAGGUAAAUUUCUUCUAAAGCUAAAUAUAGGCCAGAGACCGAUAGCGCACAAGUAGAGUGAUCGAAAGAUGAAAAGCACCUUGAAAAGAGGGUUAAACAGUACGUGAAAUUGUUGAAAGGGAAGCGCUUGUGACCAGACUCGCGCCCGGCGGAUCAUCCGGCGUUCUCGCCGGUGCGCUCCGCCGGGCUCGGGCCAGCAUCGGUUUCCGCCGGGGGACAAAGGCGCCGGGAACGUGGCUCCCCUAGGGGAGUGUUAUAGCCCGACGCGCAAUGCCCCGGCGGGGACCGAGGACCGCGCUUCGGCAAGGAUGCUGGCGUAAUGGUCAUCAGCGACCCGUCUUGAAACACGGACCAAGGAGUCAAGCAUUAGGGCGAGUGUUUGGGUGUAAAACCCGCACGCGAAAUGAAAGUGAACGCAGGUGAGAGCUUCGGCGCAUCAUCGACCGAUCCUGAUGUAUUCGGAUGGAUUUGAGUAGGAGCCUUAACGCUUGGACCCGAAAGAUGGUGAACUAUGCCUGUAUAGGGUGAAGCCAGAGGAAACUCUGGUGGAGGCUCGCAGCGGUUCUGACGUGCAAAUCGAUCGUCAAAUAUGGGCAUAGGGGCGAAAGACUAAUCGAACCAUCUAGUAGCUGGUUACCGCCG